rnacentral:rRNA from 1 species
AGCAGCCGCGGUAAUUCCAGCUCCAAUAGCGUAUAUUAAAGUUGUUGCAGUUAAAAAGCUCGUAGUUGAAUUUCGGGAUCAAUAUUUCGGUCAUGCCGUUGGUAUGCACUGUUAUCAUUGAUUUCUCGCCUUCUAAAGAACCGUAAUGCCAUUAAUUUGGUGUUACGGGGAAUUAGGACUGUUACCUUGAAAAAAUUAGGGUGUUUAAAGCAGGCUCACGCUUGAAUACAUUAGCAUGGAAUAAUGAAGUAGGACAUCCGAUUCUAUUUUGUUGGUUUCUAGGAUCGAUGUAAUGAUUAAUAGGGAUAGUUGGGGGCAUUAGUAUUCAAUUGUCAGAGGUGAAAUUCUUGGAUUUAUUGAAGACUAACUACUGCGAAAGCAUUUGCCAAGGAUGUUUUCAUUAAUCAAGAACGAAAGUUAGGGGAUCGAAGACGAUCAGAUACCGUCGUAGUCUUAACCAUAAACUAUGCCGACUAGGGAUCGGAUGAUGUUAAUUUUUUAAUGAACUCA